rnacentral:rRNA from 1 species
AAAAGAAAGUUAUAAAUGAAGUGGUCUGGAAAGGCCCGCCAAAGACGGUAACAGCCCGGUAGUUGAAAUGGCUUUCCCUCCAGAGUGGAUCCUGAGUACGGCGGAACACGUGAAAUUCCGUCGGAAUCCGGGAGGACCAUCUCCCAAGGCUAAAUACUCCCUAGUGACCGAUAGUGAACCAGUACCGUGAGGGAAAGGUGAAAAGCACCCCGGAAGGGGAGUGAAACAGUUCCUGAAACCGUGUGCCUACAAGUAGUUAGAGCCCGUUAAUGGGUGAUAGCGUGCCUUUUGUAGAAUGAACCGGCGAGUUACGAUUUGUUGCAAGGUUAAGCGGAAAAAGCGGAGCCGUAGCGAAAGCGAGUCUGAAUAGGGCGCAUAAGUAACAGGUCGUAGACCCGAAACCAGGUGAUCUACCCAUGUCCAGGAUGAAGGUAAGGUAAUACUUACUGGAGGUCCGAACCCACGCACGUUGAAAAGUGCGGGGAUGAGGUGUGGGUAGCGGAGAAAUUCCAAUCGAACUUGGAGAUAGCUGGUUCUCUCCGAAAUAGCUUUAGGGCUAGCCUCGAGGUAAAGAGUCAUGGAGGUAGAGCACUGUUUGGACUAGGGGCCCUUCUCGGGUUACCGAAUUCAGAUAAACUCCGAAUGCCAUGUACUUAUACUCGGGAGUCAGACUGCGAGUGAUAAGAUCCGUAGUCGAAAGGGAAACAGCCCAGACCACCAGUUAAGGUCCCCAAAUAUAUGUUAAGUGGAAAAGGAUGUGGGGUUGCUUAGACAACCAGGAUGUUGGCUUAGAAGCAGCCACCAUUGAAAGAGUGCGUAAUAGCUCACUGGUCGAGUGACCCCGCGCCGAAAAUGUACCGGGGCUAAACAUAUUACCGAAACUGUGGAUGAACCUCUUUAGAGGUUCGUGGUAGGAGAGCGUUCUAAGGGCGGUGAAGUCAGACCGGAAGGACUGGUGGAGCGCUUAGAAGUGAGAAUGCCGGUAUGAGUAGCGAAAGAAGGGUGAGAAUCCCUUCCACCGAAUAUCUAAGGUUUCCUGAGGAAGGCUCGUCCGCUCAGGGUUAGUCGGGACCUAAGCCGAGGCCGAUAGGCGUAGGCGAUGGACAACAGGUAGAGAUUCCUGUACCAGUGCUAAUUGUUUAACCGAUGGGGUGACACAGAAGGAUAGGGAAUCGCACGAAUGGAAAUGUGCGUCCAAGCAGUGAGUGUGAGAAGUAGGCAAAUCCGCUUCUCGCGAAGCAUGAGCUGUGAUGGGGAAGGAAAUUAAGUACGGAAGUUCCUGAUUUCACGCUGUCAAGAAAAGCCUCUAGGAAGAGUAGUACUGCCCGUACCGCAAACCGACACAGGUAGAUGAGGAGAGAAUCCUAAGGUGAGCGAGAGAACUCUCGUUAAGGAACUCGGCAAAAUGACCCCGUAACUUCGGGAGAAGGGGUGCUCUAUUAGGGUGCAAGCCCGAGAGAGCCGCAGUGAAUAGGCCCAGGCGACUGUUUAGCAAAAACACAGGUCUCUGCAAAACCGUAAGGUGACGUAUAGGGGCUGACGCCUGCCCGGUGCUGGAAGGUUAAGAGGAGUGCUUAGCUUCGGCGAAGGUACGAAUUGAAGCCCCAGUAAACGGCGGCCGUAACUAUAACGGUCCUAAGGUAGCGAAAUUCCUUGUCGGGUAAGUUCCGACCCGCACGAAAGGCGCAACGAUCUGGGCACUGUCUCAACGAGAGACUCGGUGAAAUUAUAGUACCUGUGAAGAUGCAGGUUACCCGCGACAGGACGGAAAGACCCCGUGGAGCUUUACUGCAACCUGAUAUGGAAUGUUUGUACCGCUUGUACAGGAUAGGUAGGAGCCGAAGAGACGUGUGCGCUAGCAUACGAGGAGGCAAUGGUGGGAUACUACCCUGGCUGUAUGACCAUUCUAACCCGCCACGCUUAGCGCGUGGGGAGACAGUGUCAGGUGGGCAGUUUGACUGGGGCGGUCGCCUCCUAAAGAGUAACGGAGGCGCCCAAAGGUUCCCUC